ensembl:snRNA U6 U6 spliceosomal RNA
UGCUCAAUUUGGCAGCAAUAUACUAAAGUUGGAACAAUCAGAGAACAUUAGCAUGGUACCUGCACAAGGAUGACACACAAAUUGUGAAGUGUUCCAUAUUUUU